rnacentral:lncRNA from 1 species
UUUGCCUCCUAAUGGAAAGUGAUUCUUUAUAGGAGUUCCCAUUGUGGCACAGAGGGAAUGAAUCCAGCUAGUAUCCAUGAGGAUGAGGGUUCAGUCACUGGCCUCAUUCAGUGGGUUAAGGAUCUGGCGUUGCUGUGAGCUGUGGUGUAGGUCACAGACGGGGCUUGGAUCCCUUGUUGCUGCAGCUGUAGUGUAGGCCAGCAGCUGUAGCUCUGAUUCAACCCCUAGCCUGGAAACUUCCAUAUGCCGAGGGGGCGGCCCUAAAAAACAAAAACAAACAAACAAAAAACAGCCUUUAUGGAAAAUCUAUGCCAUGCCAGGAAGAGUGCCUGGCACUACAGAUAAAUUUUUUUUAACAUUUUAAAUAUAAGCUUUAUUUUAAAUUUAAAGAAAUGUUGAAAAUAAACAUUUUUAUAAAUUCUGUCCAACGCGUAAAACAUAAUUUGGGAAUGUAAAACAUUCGUUCUUAAUUCGAAAUGACGACAUUCAUAGAAUACAUCCUGGUGUCGACCAAGAUGAAAUUUACUUAAAUCUAAUAUUUUUCAUAAGCUUAACCUUUCAUCCUUCCUAAAACUCAGUGAUUACGACUCAGCGUCAUAAGGUCGAGCAAGUCUUUGACGUAAGACCCCAGAUAACUUUCUCAAACACGAAACAUUUAUACCAGCAAGGAAGUUAUUAAAAUGUAUGUAAGUUAUACUGAAGGGCUUAAUUCCGUGGCUGUCUGUGUAAAGAUAGAUGCAUUUUACCUUAGAAAGCAGGCACUCACACAAAAACAAUCGGAGGUAGAUGCUAUUACAUUCUUUCAGGGUUAUGUUACGUAGCAAACUGCAAGUUUAUAAAUGUCAUCCCAUUAUGUAUGAGCUGAAAAAAAUGUAUAUUAAAAACACGUCCUUGAAGACACAGGAGAGUGGGAUGUGCCCAUGUGAAGUGACUCAAAAGCCCUUAAAGAACCUGCAGCUCAGAUGGUGAGACACUAACUGUUUAGGCAAAUAAAUAUGAUUUUUGGACAGAGAGAAAAGCUAGAAAGAUAAUGCGCCAGAUUGUAGGUUGGAGGGUCAUCUGAGAGCUCUCUGAGAAGGUGACCUUUAGAUGAGCCCCAGAAAGUGAGAAUAAACUGUCCAGGUGAAGACCAAGUUAGGACCCUACUGGUCAGUGGCAAGAACAAGUGCACAGACCCUGCUGUGCUCCCCUAGGGGGACGGAGCCGGCCAUUCCAGGGCUGGAGAGCGAGGUGGACAGAGUCGGGGAGGGGGAGAGGCCCCUGGGGACAGGGGUGUCGGGCUUGAACCGCAGUGACACAGAGUGAGGAGUGCCUUCUGACUGAAAGAAUUGAGGCAGCCGAGGGCAGCCGUGCCCCUUGCUUGGCCUGGGUUGGCAUGAAGGGCACCUCAGUCAGGCUGAGGCAGGCCACUUCCCACGAGGACUAAAGCAGCUGGCUUCCCAGGGACGCCAAGCGCACAAGCACAGGUGCCCUUUGGGUGGCUUCCUCAGCAUCUUAAGACAGCUUGCAGCGAUGAUUUUGCCUUGGAUUUGCAGAAUAAACAAAGGCUUUGUCGAGCCUCUGGUUUGAGGUAAUAAGUCACUAAAGCUGUGUUUGCACACUCCUCAACCACCGUGCAGCGUGGAUUCCCUCUGCAGCUUCACCCCACUUUUCGUUUGCUGGUUUGCUUCAAACAUGUCAUGUUUUCACAUAACAAAACACGCAUACACACUUCAUCCCAUUUAAUAUUUAAUUCAAACACAAUGCUUACCAUUCAAAUAAAAUGUUUACAUGUAUGAAUUUUUAUAUCCCCUUAGGAGAGUAUUUUGGAAGAUAUGUGAAUCCCUGAUAGUACACGGUGGCAUUUCAAAUGGUACACAGAUAAACUUCUUAACAAUUUAAUUGUAAUGUGUUUAUUUUAAUGUGUAGUUUUCAUAUAAAAUGAGGGCCAAAUCAAACCAGCAAUUUGGUAGCUAUUAUUGCUAGAUUUUUACUGUCAGUUAUGAUCUAAAAUUUACUGUUCAGAUGCAUUUAUUUAAGAAGUGAGUUUAUUUAAAGAAAGCAUAAUGGUACAAGAGGUACUCGUAUAACGUGCAACGGCAACACUGAAGAAGGAAGUGCAGAAGGGCUGAGGUUUGCAAGACCCCGUCCCCUGGAAGAAAUCGUGUCAUAUUCUGGCAUUUCUCUUAAGUUUGUCUCCCUCCCAGUUUUUUAUCUGAUGUCACAUUGAGAGCAAAGCCACAGACUCAAGUUGUUUUGCUCAAAAGGUGGUUUAAAUCAUUUUUUAAAAUUUGCCUACUAUUGAAAUUCCUGUCGUGGCUCAGCAGAAAUGAACCUGACUGGUAACCAUGAGGACACAGGUUCCAUCCCUGGCUUCGCUCAGUGGGUUUUGGAUCUGGCAUUGCUGUGAGCUGUGGUGUAGGUCACAAAUUCAACUUGGAUCCCGCAUUGCUGUGGCUCUGGUAUAGGCUGGCAGCUGCAGCUCUGAUUUGACCCCUAGCCUGGGAACCUCCACGUGCCAUGGGUGUGGCCCUAAAAAAAAGUGUCUACUAUGUAAAUCAUCCUUAUUCUCAUUUUUCUCAUUAUUUUUGAAAUAUGAUUAUAUUUUAAGUGCAGAGCUAUCACAUUCAUUGGAUGAUCCAUCCAUUCCCUUAACUUGAAUUUCUGAAAAAGCAAACAUUGCAAUCCCCUUUCCAGGAGGAGUUGAGACACCGUUGAUGUAAACACAAGUUUUCCACGUAGUGUGGAUAAAGCACUUCAUUAUAGCAUAGCUGGUGUUCAGAGAGUGUGCUAAAAAAAAAAGGGUGCCUCUGUUUGUUCACCAGGGGAAGGCCUUUUGACGUCAAUUCUAACUCUACAUAGAGAGGCCUUAGUAGAAUUGGAAUCCAACCUAGUUACCAUUCUGUGUUAUCACAUCCAUUUUGUUGAUAUGUAGACUGAGUCAAAUAAGCAUCCACUGAAAUUUCAGCUGGAAUUCAAAACCAGGACGCACUCACUACCUUAGCUCUAGUUCCCAGAUGGCAUUUCAUCCAUCAGCAUGAAUCUUUUUGUAUUAGUUGUGGGUUCUGAUCUGUCUGACAAAGAAAGUGUGUGGGUUGCUAGUCUGUUUUUCCCUCAAGACAGCCUAACAAACAAGCCAUCACCUGGGGGAUAAACAUUAGCCAUGGGAAAAAGGAAAUUCUAUUCCCUUGUAGGAUGCUGACUGUCACAUGCUGUGUCAUUAGUUGCUUCUGAAAGACUUUUUGAAAACACUUCUCUCCCAGUUGUAAUUUGUAUAUUGCCGUAUUUUUAAAAAAUAAUCAUUUUAAAUUCCUAAGUAAAAAAAUAAAAUGCUGCAUGAGAACAGAGUGGGAAAAGGAUUUGAGAAGCAGGGGUAAAAAUGACAUUCCGGGAGGAUGAAACUGAUGAUAAAGUAUCUUAGUCAUAUCAGUUUCAUUUUGGACAUUCUGCUAGCAAGCAUGCACUGCGUGCCCUUGCAGCAUAGACCAGGGCUUUGGCAAACUUUUUCUGUAAAGAGCUAGGUAGCAUAUAUUUUGGGGCUUUGCUGGUCAUAUGGUCUUUGUAGCAACUAAUUAGCUGGAAAGCAGCUAUAGAUUGUGUAAACAAAUGACUGUGGCUGUUUUUCAAUAAAACUUUAUUUACAAAACAAGCUGUGGGCCAUAGUUGGCCCGCCCCCUAAAAUUCAGUAGAAGAGUUUAACCUGUAGAAUUAUGCAAACCUGGGCCACAUCCUGGCUCUGAUGCUAACAACCUAUGGGAAACUGGUCAUCUUAAUGCACCUCUCAGGUCAUCAGUUUCUACUUUUGUAAAAUGGAAAUAACUGUAGACCCCCCUCCAAUGAGUUAUUGAGAAAAUCCACUGAGUAAUGCUCAAAGGGACCAGCACAGACCUGACGCAGUAGGUUCUCAUCCAAUGUCAGGUGUUAUUGUUUGCUGUGUUGCUGUGGUUCUUGGGUUAAAAAGUGCCCUUUACUCCCCGCCUCCCAUGCAUUAGCCUCAGAGAGGUAAGAGUUACCUUAACACGGAAGUCGCCUCAAGGCUGUCUUCUGUUUAAAGCCUUUCCGUGCUUUCUCAUGCCCUUCAUCAUGCCCCGAUCCAGCCCGUACUCACUCCAACAUGGUGCCCUCGGCUCUCCUCAUUCCCCCUGGGUGGGCUCCAGCCACGCUGAGGCAGCAUCUGGAGCUCUUGUAUACCUCAGGACAUUUACAUGUGCUUUUUCCUCCUUUCGGGAACGCUGGGCCCCUCACUUUUCUCAAGACUCGUUUCUUCCUUUUGUUAUUUGCUUGUCUGUUACUUCCUCAGUGAAGGCUUCGUUCUUCUCCUGCCAAUAACUACGUCCUUCAUAACUCAGCAAAAUUAGUCAGGGACAGACCAUACCUAUCUUAUUCACAAUCGAAAUCACCGUGCUUCGUACAGUGUUCUGACACAUAUGGACAUGGAAAAAUUACAUAAUAAACACAGAAUUAGUGUGUCAGUGACGAAUUAUUAUUUAUUAUAACCAUCAUCACCGUCAUGAAUGGGACUGAAAGCAUAGGACCUAGUACAGAGCUCAUCAGUCUUCAACCAUCUUCAACCUCCUUCAUGACUUCUAUCAUAUUUAUGGACUGCUUGAAUGUACACAUUUUUUACUCCUUUUCUUAUUGCUUACUUCCUGCUAUUUCUAAGCCAGGGAUUAACCAACUAUAGCCCUCAGGCCAAGUUUGACCCUCCACCUGCUUUUGUAAAUAAAGUGUGUUUGGAACACGGCCAUGCCCAUUCCCAUCCGUUACUGGAUUGACCAAGGAUGCUUUCACAUUACAAGGACAGAGUUGAGAAGCUGAGUAGCAACUGGCUGGCUCACAAAUCUAAAAAUAUUUAUUAUUUGAUCCCUUACAGAAAACAUUUGCUGACGCCUGUACUAAGCAGUAAAAGUCACUAAAUACUAUGUUUAACACGCUAGUUAUGUUUGUAUUUCCACUCUCAUUAAAAACGAUCUCAUAGCUAUUAAGAUUAUUUAAAUAUUUGCUCAAGGACCCCCUAAAGUGUUUUUGUGAUGGUCCUUGAACCACAUCUACUAACUCUGCACCUGGUCAAAAGUCCCCCAUGUGGGUUCCAUAUGUGGUGCAGAUCAGCACAUUUAUCCCCCCGAGGAGAUCCUUUUAGUGCAAUUCCUAAAUUUACGCAAGGGUAAAUUCAUGGGCUUUUUCCCCACAGAUGCCAUGCCUCUGCCAGGCAUCCUCUUGCUAACUUUGCCCACGAGUUGGCUGAGAGCUUGACAUGAACAUCUGCGUCAUGGAUGUCAUUAUAACAGGCGUCAAAAGUGCCACUGCUCUCCUGGCACACCUAGACUCUUGACAAGAUAGAUGAAACCUACAGCUCUCUGUAGCUGACUCCCAGAAUUCAGGGCUGCCAGCUUUGGCUCAUGUUAUGAAUAGCCGGUGGCUGUUCUGUUAGAUAUCCCUUUGUCAGGAAGAUUCUGCCUUCCAGAAUUUUCCCUAGAUUUACAUAUGGCAUUAUGAAAUCUCUUGUAGAGAAUGCAAAGGGAUUUGCAGACGUCUUUUUAUUUUUGUUUUUCAGUGACCUCCAAGUGAAGGGGAUCAGCUGGGCGUCUUCCAGUUGCAGGAAACAGAAAAUGCAUCCCCAAAUGGCUUAAGUAAUUUGACAGUUUGACUGGCUUGCAUGAGUCAAAAGUCUGGGGUAUAACCGACUUCGGGCAUUGCUAGUUCAAGGCCUCAAGUUAUAUCACAAAGGCUUGGUUCUUCCUGUAUGUUUCUGUGGUUCAUCUCAGCAAUGUUGGCUCCAUUCUGGGGCAGUCUCUUUCCUCAUGGUGACUAGAUGGCCGCCAGCAGCCCCUCCUUCAUGUCCUCCCAUGAGUAAGUCUAGAUUCAAGGAUCUGGCCUCCUUAGAAAUUCCAGUCACUGUCAUAUGGCAUCUGGUUGACUGUGCCGGUGUCAGCCCCAAUCAACCACUUUUGCCAGCUUAGUGAGAUGGUCUGAUACGUGAAGUCUAGGCCAUGCCAUCCCUGGAGAUGGGGGAGAGGGGAGCUAGUCAGCUCCUCCAGAAUUCUGUGGGCUCUGAGUGGGGAUCCUGAGACCAGGUCAGAAGCUGUUAUCAGAUUCAGAGUGAGUGGAUGACAGGGCAAAAUAGCAACAGUCAGCUUCCACAGAGAAGAAGCUAGCUCCAAUCCAAGGCUGAUUUUCCACAGCUUCUGCUUCAGGGUGUCUCAGCCUUGGUGCUGUUGACAUUUGAGGCCGGGUAACCCUUUCUUGUGAGUCUCAUUUGUGCAGUGUUAAAAUCUUUAGCAACAUCCUUGCCUCUACCUGCUGGAUAUCAAUGUGUUUCCAUCCCCCCCCCACCCCCACCUCAAAUAUGACAACUAGAAAUGUCCCCUGGGAGCAAAAAUCACCCCAGGUUGAGAACCACUGUGUGUUGGUCGCAGUGGGAGGGUGAUGAGCCAAGGGUGAUGACUUCAUCAUUCACCAGGGAAAGGUUUUGAAAAGGAGAAAGCAGUUCCUAGAAAGGGCUGUGAAAACUGACGCCCUUUUGGCGGAGCGUUCAAGGUCUUCCUCUCCUUGCGCCUUCUCCGAGCCAGCCUGGGAAAGUCCUUCAGGACCUCAGUGGUCCACCAAAACCUCUUCACAAAAGCAAAAUCAGGAGUGUGUUCUGCUUUAAGUAUCUUGGAGUCAGGAAGUUCCAGGUUUGAAUCCCAGUUUGGGCGCAUUCUUGGUCUGUGCCCUUUGGCAAGUUCCUUAACAUCUCAGAGUCUGUGGGGUUUUCUCCCCAACGUAAAACCAAGACAGUGUGGGAGCUAAUGGGAGAUUUCAAAAGCGAUGGGUGCUAACUAACCAGGAGGCAGGCCUGAGAAGGCCACUCAGAAGACCAGAGCUUUAGUUCUCGGUGUUGUCGCGAUUAUGCGGAUCAUCAACAUUAUCCAAGCCAGGUGUUCUUAACCUUGACCCUAUGAUGCUUGGGGCCGUGUGAUUCUCAGUUGUGGGGGCUGUCCUGUGCAGUGGAUGGCGGGUAGUGACAGUCCCAGCUUCAACACCCCGCACACU